CCUACGGGAGGCAGCAGUGGGGAAUAUUGCACAAUGGGGGAAACCCUGAUGCAGCGACGCCGCGUGAGUGAAGAAGUAAUUCGUUAUGUAAAGCUCUAUCAGCAGGGAAGAAAAUGACGGUACCUGAGUAAGAAGCCCCGGCUAACUACGUGCCAGCAGCCGCGGUAAUACGUAGGGGGCAAGCGUUAUCCGGAUUUACUGGGUGUAAAGGGAGCGUAGACGGCAGUGCAAGUCUGGAGUGAAAGGCGGGGGCUCAACCCCCGGACUGCUCUGGAAACUGUACGGCUGGAGUGCAGGAGAGGUAAGUGGAAUUCCUGGUGUAGCGGUGAAAUGCUUAGAUAUUAGGAGGAACACCAGUGGCGAAGGCGGCUUACUGGACUGUAACUGACGUUGAGGCUCGAAAGUGUGGGUAUCAAACAGGAUUAGAUACCCUUGUAGUC
rnacentral:rRNA from 1 species